GUGGGGAAUCUUGCGCAAUGGGCGAAAGCCUGACGCAGCCAUGCCGCGUGAAUGAUGAAGGUCUUAGGAUUGUAAAAUUCUUUCACCGGGGACGAUAAUGACGGUACCCGGAGAAGAAGCCCCGGCUAACUUCGUGCCAGCAGCCGCGGUAAUACGAAGGGGGCUAGCGUUGCUCGGAAUUACUGGGCGUAAAGGGCGCGUAGGCGGACAGUUUAGUCAGAGGUGAAAGCCCAGGGCUCAACCUUGGAAUUGCCUUUGAUACUGGCUGUCUUGAGUACGGGAGAGGUGAGUGGAACUCCGAGUGUAGAGGUGAAAUUCGUAGAUAUUCGGAAGAACACCAGUGGCGAAGGCGGCUCACUGGCCCAAUACUGACGCUGAGGCGCGAAAGCGUGGGGAGCAAACAGGAUUAGAAACCCUGGUAGUCC
rnacentral:rRNA from 1 species